rnacentral:rRNA from 1 species
CACGUAGGGUGCGAGCGUUGUCCGGAAUUAUUGGGCGUAAAGAGCUCGUAGGCGGUGUGUCGCGUCGGCCGUGAAAACCUGCAGCUUAACUGUGGGCUUGCGGUCGAUACGGGCAUCACUUGGAGUUCGGCAGGGGAGACUGGAAUUCCUGGUGUAGCGGUGAAAUGCGCAGAUAUCAGGAGGAACACCGGUGGCGAAGGCGGGUCUCUGGGCCGAGACUGACGCUGGAGGAGCG